GUGCCAGCCGCUGCGGUAAUACGUAGGUGGCAAGCGUUGUCCGGAAUUAUUGGGCGUAAAGCGCGCGCAGGCGGCCUUUUAAGUCCAUCUUAAAAGCGUGGGGCUCAACCCCAUGAGGGGAUGGAAACUGGGAGGCUGGAGUAUCGGAGAGGAAAGCGGAAUUCCUAGUGUAGCGGUGAAAUGCGUAGAGAUUAGGAAGAACACCAGUGGCGAAGGCGGCUUUCUGGACGACAACUGACGCUGAGGCGCGAAAGCGUGGGAGCAAACAGGAUUAGAUACCCUGGUAGUCCACGCCGUAAAACGAUGGAUACGUAGGUGUAGGAGUAU
rnacentral:rRNA from 1 species